rnacentral:misc_RNA from 1 species
GUGUUAGGUACAAUCAUACAUUCAUAUCUAUAUUCCACUAUCAGUAGUAGUAGUUAUUCAAUUAAAUGUUGUCUAGGACUUAGUGGCGUCCAUUCAGACGCGUUCAAAUGGUUUAAUUGACCAGCGAAUAUUGAAUGAUCUUGGGUAGUGUCUGUUGGAGCUGGUAGAUGAUAGUUGUCGGAAUAAUUAACUUUAUAAUUUUUACUUAUUAGUUAAGAUUGUUAUGAGUUAUAAUCAUGCAGCAAUUGAGCAAAUAGUGUGAUAUUGGGAGGGGGCCUGAACAAUGAUAGCUUCAUACCGGACUCUUCAAAAAGUUUAUUUGAGUUGGGAUGUACAACAGUUAGGGGAGGGACUUAACCACAGCUAUUCGCGACUAUGGCUAUAAUUAAAAUACUUGCAUUUUUUACAAGUAGUAAAGGGAAAAGACAGUUAUGUGGAUGUAUUGUUUUUUAAACUUGAACCAAUUUCCUAGGGACGAAAACCGUAGAUUACAGUGGAUACAAGCACUUGACCGAGAGAACUUUGUACCCACGAAUAAUACUUUAAUUUGUGAAGCACAUUUUACUACUAAUGACUAUCAAAAAAGACCUGAUCUCAUUAAGUUAACACAUACUGCUGUUCCAAGUAUUUUCAAAGGUCGGGUAAAUGAAAAACAGAAUGCUUCUCUGAAAAAAGUAAUGGAUCCGGGAUUAAAAUCCUCUCGAAUGCCAGCAAGAAAACGUCAUAGUAAUUUAUCAGACCACACUUAUGUGUUGAAACUUCCUGAAGAGAUUAUACCUGAGGUGACUGAGGAUAUAGGUUUCCAAAAAUCAAUUAGUCCAUCAAAAUGUGUAGUCCACACAAUAGAUGCUGGUGAAUCACGUGUGUUAGAUGUAUCCCAAUCAAAUAUACAAACAUCAAGAAAUAUUGAAAAUCCAGUCUUUAAAAUACCUGAAAGUUUCAAAAACACUUUUCAACCUCCAGAAAAAAAUUGGGAACACGUUGCAAUAAUACAACAAAAAACAAUACAUGAUUUAAGAAAAAAAGUAAAAGUUCUUCAUCAAAAAAUUAGACGGUAUUCCUCAACAAUUGAAACAUUAAAGGAACAAUUGGAUAUAAUGAUUCGUUACUAAUAUCAAAUACCUUCAAUAAAUAAUAAAUAUCAAUAAGAAUAUUGAAGGAUUUCAAUUGAAAAGUAAUAUUUAUUACAUUUGUAUUAUAAAAAAUUAAGUCAUACCUAUACUAUGCCACUUAUAGAAUAUACACCAAACAUUCUGCUGAUAUAAAAUUGUGCUUUACCAAAAAUGAUAAUCUUCUUGAAUUUUAAUAUGAAAACCUAAAGAUGGAAUUGAUUGAAUGGUGGCAUAUAGGCAGUAACUUGUGUCUGAUUUUUCACUUCAAUAAACCAUGAAUUCCAUUUUUGUACUGGACAAUGUAUAAAUUCUAUACGUUGAUGAUAGCGUUUCCUAUAUUGGAUGAAUGAAAGGUAGGUAAUCGGGAAAAAAAUAUUUUGAGUUUUAAUGAAUUUAAUAUAUUU